GUGUGUUUAUGUAGCAACAGUGUCGAGGACCUGGAGCCCCUGGGGCGGGGCCGGGGGUGACAAUACAGUCGUGGCCGCUCCGUCAUAUGCCUUGAGGGGAGGGGUGCUGUCCUCCAGACCCACUGACCUUAGUGUGUCUGGGAGGCAGGCUGUGCCCCGAGGGACCCAGAGGAGCAUGUAAAGGAGGGUCCUCCCCCACCGUCUCCCCAGAUUUGGAGGCAAUUUGUGGGGAGCAGGAGGCUCUACCUGGGACAGGCUCUGCCUGGGACAGGCUCAGGAUUCCAAACACUUCAUGACAUGGAUGGAUGGCUGACUCUCCUGCAGAACACACCGCACGCCAGACGUGGUCUGGUCACUGGCCCUGUGGCUCCUUCUGGCAUCCGAGCUCCUCCCUGUUUGUGGCUGCUGACCUGUCACAAUGGCUAAGAGGGGCCCCCAGAGAUAGGUUCCUGUCCUGAGCUCUGGAACCUCGGGAUGCAAUCGUAUUUGAAAAAGGGAUCCUUGCCAAGAGUCACCCAGGUGGUGGUAAUCUGUACGGCAGUGGGAAGACUCGUGCAUUCCUGGGCCGGGGGGGGGUGAUGCUCCAUUGCCUCCACUUUGCGGACCCAAGAGCAGAUGUCAUUUUCCGAGGACGAUGGGCUCCAAUGUGACUGAGCCUUCCCCUCGCCCCGGGGUACCUCCAGGGCAGCUCCAGGGGGCAGGGACUGGUCAGAUCAGCUCACUCCCCGUUCCCCAGAACCUGGAUGGGGCCUGGCCCACAGCGGAAGCUCGAGAUUUGUUCAAUAAAUGGAUGGAUGGAUGAGCGGAUGGAUGGAUGGGUAGCUCCGUGGUAAAGAAUCCACCUACCAACGCAGGAGCUGCAGGAGACACGGGUUCCAUCCCUGGGUCAGGAGGACCCCCUGGAGGAGGGCACGGCACCCACUCCAGUGUUCUCGCCUGGGAGAUCCCAUGGACAGAGGGGCCUGGUGGGCCCCAGUCCAUGGGGUCGCGGACAGUCCCACACGACCGAGAGACUAAGCAUGUGUGCACACGUGGUCAGACCCUUGGGGGUGACUCACCGAAGACAGUCUCCUGCUUACUGAUGAGGAAACUGAGGCCGCAACGAGAGCCCCAGGCCCAGGCCUCACGGACCCUGAUGGCUAGUCCCGAUCCUGAGCUUGCCGGGGCCUCUGCCCCCUGUGAUGGCCAGGUUGGUGGGCCCGCUCGGCCAGCCCGCAGUCCCCGGUGACUCACACACUCAUCUUGUGUGAAGGCAUUCCAUAAGCGCAUUCACUUCUACCCCUUCCAAGUGACUGGGCGAGGCCCAUCCACCCUGGGGCAGGCCGUCUGCUUUAUGCCGUCGGCUCCACAAGCUAAGCUCAUCCAGGCGCCCCCACAGACGCACACAGAGUCGUGUUGACCGAACAGCCGGCCUCUGAUCAACUGACACGUGCGAGCAACCACCCCGCUCACAAGCGCGGACUUAGAGCCGUGGCCCCGGUUUGGGCCUCACGCUCCAGGCCUGGGCCCAGGCCCUUCACAGGGAAGAACGGCCACGCGGCUGCAACUCAGGCCCCCGCACCCUGGCGCUGCUCUGAUGGCGACGGGAUGCUGAGGCCCAGAGAGGGUAGCAGGCCCCCAGGUCACACAGCAGGCCCCGCGGCAGCGACUCCCGCCGUUAGCUCUCUGCCAGCUGGGCUGGGAGGGUCACCGGUCCCCAGUCCUUCCCUGGUCCCUGGGCCCCAGUGCAGCGUGGCUGCGUUACCAUCACAGGGGCCUCUGUUUUUGACCUCAGCAGCACCACACCUAACACUUUCUUUCAUCUUCUCAAUUGCCUCUCCCAGCAACCUGGGAGGCAGGGAUGAUCCCAUUUCACAGAUGGGGAGACUGAGGCACACAGGGUGGGAGGGAUUCACCCAGGGUCCCAGCAACCCAUGGGUACAGACCCGGCCUCGAUGGAGUCACAGUUCAGUCAUAUUUUCUGCCCCCUGCCCCCACCCCCGUCAGCUUCCUCCUCCUUCCUGAGUCCUGUGGGGAGAAAGGGGGUCUGGGGGUCUCCGUUUAAGGUGCCUCUGUGUCUGCAGGCGGCGUGUGUGUGUGAGUGUGUGUGCAUGUGUGUGUGUGCACACGUGUGCAUGCCCGUGUGAUCAGGGCAGGGACGGAAUUACUCCUCUAAGCCCUGAGCCCACCGUGAAUCCGUAGCUGGUUGUUUUGACCCAAACUUGAACUCCACACACUUGCACACCACGCCAUGGUUCACUGGUGGCCUUGGUUUCAAAGACGUUUCCUGACUGAACAAAAGCAAAAAGCCAACAAACAAACUUGAAAGAGCAGAGAGGAGGCCAAGGGCAGCCGUGGGGGUGCAGGACCAGAUCAGAAGCAGAUGGUCCAGAGCUGCACUCAGGGUGCUGAGUGGGAGCUGGGGGCAGGUCCGGGAGGUGAGCGUGGGGCGCCUGCCUUGGCCUGUGGAUGCCCUCCGUCCAGGCGGAUCCAGGGUCCUCCUGGGCCUGGCACAGAAGCCAGAGCCCGGCCCUCCCCAUAAGCCAACUCAACCUCCC
ensembl:lncRNA